rnacentral:rRNA from 1 species
CAGUCGCCGCGGUAAUACGUAGGGUGCAAGCGUUAAUCGGAAUUACUGGGCGUAAAGUGUGCGCAGGCGGUUUGUUAAGACAGAUGUGAAAUCCCCGGGCUCAACCUGGGAACUGCAUUUGUGACUGGCAAGCUAGAGUAUGGCAGAGGGGGGUGGAAUUCCGCGUGUAGCAGUGAAAUGCGUAGAUAUGCGGAGGAACACCGAUGGCGAAGGCAGCCCCCUGGGCCAAUACUGACGCUCAUGCACGAAAGCGUGGGGAGCAAACAGGAUUAGAUACCCCGGUAGUCCCUGUCUCUUAUAA